rnacentral:rRNA from 1 species
CUAAGGGCGUCUGGUGGAUGCCUUGGUAUCGGGCGGCGAUGAAGGGCGUGGCAAGCUGCGAUAAGCCCGGGGGAGGCGCAAGCAGCCUUUGAUCCCGGGAUUCCCGAAUGGGGAAACCCGUCUCGAGUAAACUCGGGACAUCCCGACUUUGUCGGGAGGCAAACCCGGGGAAGUGAAACAUCUCAGUACCCGGAGGAAGAGAAAUCAACCGAGAUUCCCUCAGUAGCGGCGAGCGAACGGGGAACAGCCUAAACCUCUGUUGUGUUAAAGCCCGUGAGCGUUGCAACAGGGGGGUCGUGGGACAUGGUCAGGCCUGAUCACGGACAGGCCGGAGAGUUACAAAUUCCUUUCUUAGCCGAAUCCUCCUGGAAAGGGGAACCGUAGAAGGUGACAGUCCUGUAGGCGAAAAGAAAGGAACUCUCUGGACCAUGUUCCCGAGUACCAUGGGACACGUGGAAUCCUGUGGGAAUCCGGGGGGACCACCCUCCAAGGCUAAACACGUCCCGAUGACCGAUAGUGCACUAAGUACCGUGAGGGAAAGGUGAAAAGGACGCAGGUGAUGCGAGUGAAACAGAACCUGAAACCAGAUGCCUACAAUCAGUCGGAGCUCUGGGAAAGGGAUUUCUUCCCUUCGGGGAAGAUUCCUUUUCUCGGGGUGACGGCGUGCCUUUUGCAUAAUGAGCCCGGGAGUUGCUGUCAGCGGCAAGGUUAAUCCCGAUGUGACGAGCAUCGGGAGGAGCCGUAGCGAAAGCGAGUCCGAACAGGGCGACAAGUCGCUGGUAGCAGACCCGAAGCCGGGUGACCUACCUAUGGGCAGGGUGAACUCCGACGAAAGUCGGAGGGAGGCCCGAACCGGUGGACGUUGAAAAGUCCUCGGAUGACCUGUGGGUAGGAGUGAAAAGCUAACCGAACCCGGUGAUAGCUGGUUCUCCCCGAAAUAUAUCUAGGUAUAGCCUCGGGAUUGAGUGUGCGGGGGGUAGAGCACUGGUUGGGCUAGGGGGAGAAAUUCUUUCCGAACCCAGUCAAACUCCGAAUACCCGUACAUGCUUCCCGGGAGUCAGCGGGUGGGGGAUAAGCUCCAUUCGCGAGAGGGGAACAACCCAGACCGUCGGCUAAGGUCCCAAAGCGCGGGCUAAGUGGUAAAGGAAGUAGAAGUCCUAAGACAGCCGGGAUGUUGGCUUAGAAGCAGCCAUCAUUUAAAGAGUGCGUAACAGCUCACCGGUCGAGGGCUUCUGCGCCGAAAAUUUAGCGGGGCUUAAGUCCGCCACCGAAGCCACGGAGACAGGCGAAGCCUGUCUUUCGUUGGGGCUUUGCCCCAAACCCCUUUAAGGAAUUUCCUUAUAGGGGUGAAGGGGGUUUACCCCCUUCCGAGACAAGCUUCGCUUGUCUGGUAGGGGAGCGUUCCCAGCGGGUUGAAGUCCCGAUGCAAAUCGGGGUGGACUGCUGGGAAGUGAGAAUCCGGGCAUUAGUAGCGAUAACGCCGGUGAGAAUCCGGCGCGCCGUAAGCCCAAGGUUACCUGGGGAAGGUUCGUCCGCCCAGGGUUAGCCGGCCCCUAACCUAAGUCCCGUGAUGGGAGUAGGGGAUGGGAAUCCCGUUAAUAUUCGGGAGCCACCCAGGUGGAGUCCGAGGGGUGACGCAGGAGGGAAGGACCAUCCUCCUUACGGCUAUGGAGGUCUAAGUCUGUAGGAGGCUCCUCCAGGGAAAUCCGGAGGAGUGUUCCGACUCUGUCGGAACAACUCCGAGAGGCGAUGGGGAUCCCGAUUUCGGUCGGGAGAACUGGUUCGGACCACACUGCCAAGAAAUAACCUCGCGGACGUUGAAACCUGGGUGACCGUUCCGCAAACCGACACAGGUGGGCGGGCAGAGAAUGCUCAGGCGCGCGGGUGAUCCCUCGCUAAGGAACUCGGCAAGUUGACCCCCUAACUUCGGGAUAAGGGGUGCCUCGAGUACGUGAAAGCCUUCGCGGUAAGUAGCGGAAAGGGGUCGCAGCGAAGAGGCCCUGGCGACUGUUUACCAAAAACACAGGGCUCCGCAAACUCGUAAGAGGAUGUAUGGGGCCUGAAGCCUGCCCAGUACCGGAAGGUUAAGGGGAGGGAUGCAAGUCCUGAACCUAAGCCCCGGUAAACGGCGGCCGUAACUAUAAUGAAGGACCGUUGUAGUUACGAAAAAAAACCCGGCUGUAUGCGGGAAACUCCGGAGUGUCUUCGGGUACUCCCUUUUGAUAGAAUAAAAGGGAGUAACAAACCCGGGGAGUGUCUCUGACAAAUAUGGAGGCGCCGGACAACCCGCAGGAAACCCUCCCUGAAUUUGAAAAGGAGGUCUGGUCAUGCUAAAUGUAAAAAAAAUACCAUCGCAUAUAGGGUGGUACCUUGCUGGAUUCGCUGAUGGAGAAGGAAGCUUUAUGGUGGUCUUCAGGCCACGAAAAGACUACAAACUCCCAUGGAAAAUAUCAGCGUGCUUCAAUGUUUCAAACAGGGAUAGAGUAAUUCUUUCUCUCUUUAAAAGGUAUCUAAAAUGUGGAACUCUCAGACAGAGAAAGGAUGGUAUUUACUACUAUGAAAUCAAUAAUCUCAAUGCAAUAAAGGAAAAUCUCAUUCCCUUUUUUGAAAAAUUCAAAUUCCUAUCGUCCAGAAAAAAAAGAGAUUUUUCAAUUUUCAAAAAAAUUGUAAAACUGAUGUUAGAAAAUCGACAUCUUUCAAAACAGGGAAUUAUUCAAAUAAUGAAUCUAAGAAACAAGUUAAAUGAAGAUAGAACAAAGAGGAAAUACAGUGAUAAAGAAAUUCUUCAAAAAUUAAAAAGGGAGGGGAUCCUCAGAGGCCAUACGCCGGGCACCACACAGGUUUGACCCCUUUACGGGGAUAAGUCGCCGACCUGUGGGUGAAGAUAUGGUCCACACCCCAUGGCAACAUGGGGAUAGAGAAAAGGAACGGUCCUAAGGUAGCGAAAUUCCUUGCCACGUAAGUUGUGGCCUGCACGAAUGGCGUAACGACUGGGGCGCUGUCUCAGCGAGGGGCCCGGCGAAGUUGUAGUGGUGGUGAAGAUGCCACCUACCCACGGCAGGACAGAAAGACCCCGUGGACCCUUACUGGAGCCUGGUAUUGGAGUCUGGUAUGUCAUGUGUAGCAUAGGUGGGAGGCUUUGAAACUCCGACGCCAGUCGGAGUGGAGCCACCAGUGAAAUACCACCCUUGAUAUAUUGGGCUCCUAACCCGGAUUGUGGAAAUCAGGGGACAUUGCUUGGCGGCCAGUCUGACUGGGGCGGUCGCCUCCUGAAAGGUAACGGAGGCGCCCAAAGCUCCCCUCAGUCCCGUCGGUACGGGACGUUGAGUGUAAGGGCAUAAGGGGGGUUGACUGCGAGGCCGACAGGCCGAGCAGGCGCGAAAGCGGGGCCUAGUGAUCCGGCGGUUCCGUGUGGAAGGGCCGUCGCUCAGCGGAUAAAGGGUACCCCGGGGAUAACAGGCUGGUCGGGCCAGAGAGUUCAUAUCGGCGGCCCGGUUCGGCACCUCGAUGUCGGCUCAGCCCAUCCUGGGGGUGAAGAAGCUCCCAAGGGUUGGUCUGUUCGCCCAUUAAAGGGCUACGUGAGCUGGGUUCAGACCGUCGUAAGACAGGUCGGUCCCUAUCCGCCGUGGGCGCAGGGCACUUGAGGGGUCCUGCCCUUAGUACGAGAGGACCAGGGUGGGGAGGCCUCUGGUGUACCGGUUGUCCUGCCCAGGGCACAGCCGGGUAGCCACGCCUCUAAGCGAUAACCGCUGAAGGCAUCUAAGCGGGAAGCGCACCCCAAGAUAAGGUGCCCCUCCCGACAGGUUUUCCUGUCGGGAUAAGGUCCCUGGAAGACUACCAGGUUGAUAGGCGGCAGGUGUAAGUUCCGUAAGGGAUUGAGCCGAGCCGUACUAAUCGACCGAGAGCCUUACAU